CUCCUGCGUUGAUGGUGAUGCUGUUAGAGACGCAUCUACCCACCCUCACCACCUGAGUUCUGCCAGUGAGGAAGUCCAACACCCGUACUGGUGGAAGUUUUACAAACCGGAAGGUGCAGGGAAGACAAGAGCAGCGAGCACGGGGUGUGGGGACACACAGGAGCGGAAGAGCACGGACUUGUGGGUGAAGACACGACACGGAAGUCAAGGGGAAAACACGGGGAUCUAUUCUGUGAACUAUUUGCACCACUGUAAAUAAACGCACUACCUUCAUCAUUAAGUCCUGCAUCUUGGGUCCUCAUUCCUCUCAUCCCCACGGUCUGCCACACAGACCGUAACAUCUGGUAUCCAUAGCCAGUCUUUUCAAUAAUCUCAUUGAGGGGUUCUGGCCUAUGUAGAAGAGCAGUGGGCACAGGACAUCUCCUUGGUAGAUUCCGCAGUUAAUGGUGAUUUUUGCUAUUUGCUUGAAGUUAGCCUCUAGUGUUGUUUUCCACAUUCCCGCUGAGUUCUGUUUUGGGUGCUUAACUACAUGUUAUUAGGAUACACUCAUGUGAAAAAGAAAGUUUUCACUGGAAAGAGUAGAGUCCUGUGAAAAUUGUAUGUACAUUUGUGUUUCUUUCAGUACCUCCUUUGUUUCUGUGUUUAUACCUUGGUCCCUUCUGUUUCCUGGUCUCUUUCAUCUCAGGUAUUAGUAGUUAUGUUCUAUUGUUUGGCUAUUUCCUGUUUUAUUUUAAAGUUAUUCCCUGAUUGUGUUCACCUAUUUGUUCAGUUAAAUAACUGAACUAAUAUAAAGACAUUCAUACAGAUAUUUUUUGUGUUCUCAUUUUUGCUUAGCUUUUAUCCAUUCAAUAAUAUUUUUUAAAUGUAUUUUCCUCUAAGCUGCUCUAUUUGACAUCCCUUUUAUGAGAUUUUCAUGAUUUUUCCUUUGCACCACCCAUUCUGUGUUGUCACUGUGUAUUCUGCAUAUUUUUCUGUAUACUUGUUGUCUGGAAAGCACCUUGAGUAAACUCCUGAUUGUUUCUAAGUGUGCAACAGAAAUAAAUGACCUGAAUUCAAGUCUGGGCCACAGAAGACCACUGCUGUACCUGAGCUCUUUUGUGGGUAAUUACAAAAGGGUACUUAUCACCAUGACAGCACAGCUGCACAAAUGACAACCAGCUGUGAGAGUUUACUUCCAGCUGCUGCCCCCAGGAAGCAUUAAAAGAUGUUUGUUUGAACUUUAGCAGACAUUAAAGCACACUUUUAAUAGAUUUUAGCUGACAUAAGAUUUCAGAAAGCCUGUAAUAACCUGGUUG
ensembl:lncRNA